GAGCCCCGCGUGGCCGCCCACGUAGCCUUCUGGCGCGUGCUGCGUGGCCACCGGCUCUUUUUUUCUGCUGGGUGCCCUGCCCUGCUCGCAAGGGCGGAGCAGGCCGCGUCCAGCACGUUUACUUUGAAAAAAUUAGAGUGUUCAAAGCAGUCUCGCAAGACUGAAUAUCUUAGCAUGGAAUAAUGGAAUAGGACUUUGGUUCUAUUUUGUUGGUUUCUAGGACCAGAGUA
rnacentral:rRNA from 1 species